GACGAUCGCUGGCGGCGUGCUUAACCCAUGCACGGCGAACGAGUGGCGAACGGGAGAGUAAUGUAUGGGGACUGCCCGAUAGAGGGGGAUAACUACUGGAAACGGUAGCUAAUACCGCAUACUAUCGGAUAACCCAUAUGGGAUUAGCUAGUAGGUGAGGUAAUGGCUCACCUAGGCGACGAUCCCUAGCUGGUCUGAGAGGAUGAUCAGCCACACUGGGACUGAGACACGGCCCAGACUCCUACGGAGGCAGCAGUGGGGAAUAGUGCACAAUGGGCGCAAGCAUGAUGCAGCCAUGCCGCGUGUAUUAAGAAGGCCCUAGGGUGGUAAAGUACUUUCAGUCGGGAGGCGUUACCGACAGAAGAAGCACCGGCUAACUCCGUGCCAGCCGCCGCGGUAAUUC
rnacentral:rRNA from 1 species